rnacentral:rRNA from 1 species
AUCGGAAUGAGUACACUUUAAAUCCUUUAACAAGGAUCCAUUGGAGGGCAAGUCUGGUGCCAGCAGCCGCGGUAAUUCCAGCUCCAAUAGCGUAUAUUAAAGUUGUUGCGGUUAAAAAGCUCGUAGUUGGUUCUGCGUGCCGCGCUGUCGGUUCGCCGCCUGUCGGUGUAACUGGCAUGUCGCGGCAUGUCCUGUCGGUGGUGAACGGAGUCCACGACGCUACAUGGGCUUUAUAGUCGAUGUUAGCAUCGUGUGUACUUCCGUUGGCCGAUCUCUCCUACUUCGGUGCUCUUAAACGAGUGUCGAGGUAGGCCGACACGUUCACUUUGAACAAAUUAGAGUGCUUAAAGCAGGCUGAAAUAUCUGCCUGAAUAGUGGUGCAUGGAAUGAUAAAACAGGACCUCGGUUCUAUUUUGUUGGUUUUAGGAAUAUGAGGUAAUGAUCAAUGUGGACUGGCGGGGGCAUUCGUAUUGCGACGUUAGAGGUGAAAUUCUUGGAUCGUCGCAAGACGCACUAGAGCGAAAGCAUUUGCCAAGUAUGUCUUAAUUGAUCAAGAACGAAAGUUAGAGGUUCGAAGGCGAUCAGAUACCGCCCUAGUUCUAACCAUAAACGAUGCCAGCCAGCGAUCCGCCGAUGUUCCUUUAAUGACUCGGCGGGGAGCUUCCACCCGGGAAACCAAAG